AUUGAACGCUGGCGGCAUGCCUUACACAUGCAAGUCGAACGGUAACGCGGGGCAACCUGGCGACGAGUGGCGAACGGGUGAGUAAAGCAUCGGAACGUGCCCAGUAGUGGGGGAUAGCCCGGCGAAAGCCGGAUUUAUACCGCAUACGACCUAAGGGUGAAAGGGGGGGAUCGCAAGACCUCUCGCUAUUGGAGCGGCCGAUGUCAGAUUAGGUAGUUGGGGGGGUGAAGGCCUACCAAGCCGAAGAUCUGUAGCUGGUCUGAGAGGACGACCAGCCACACUGGGAAUGAGACACGGCCCAGACUCCUACGGGAGGCAGCAGUGGGGAAGUUUGGACAAUGGGCGCAAGCCUGAUCCAGCCAUGCCGCGUGCAGGAAGAAGGCCUUCGGGUUGUAAACCGCUUUUGUCAGGGAAGAAAUCCUUUGGGUUAAUACCUCGGGGGGAUGACGGUACCUGAAGAAUAAGCACCGGCUAACUACGUGCCAGCCGCCGCAGUAAAAC
rnacentral:rRNA from 1 species